UACGGAGGGGACAAGCGUUGUUCGGAAUUACUGGGCGUAAAGGGCGCGCAGGCGGCUGCUCAAGUCAGGCGUGAAAGGCCUGGGCUCAACCCGGGAAUUGCGCUUGAGACUGGGCUGGCUUGAGUGCGGGAGAGGAUGGUGGAAUUCCCAGUGUAGAGGUGAAAUUCGUAGAUAUUGGGAAGAACACCGGUGGCGAAGGCGGCCAUCUGGACCGCAACUGACGCUGAGGCGCGAAAGCGUGGGGAGCAAACAGG
rnacentral:rRNA from 1 species